UCUCUCGGUUGCCGGAAGAUGGGGGGGAAAUCACCUUAAGUGCUUGCUGCCGGGUUUUGUGACGAGAGUAAGGAUGGAGAAGCGUGAACGGUCUUGGGAGACGUGCAUUACCUUGACCUUAAGAGAUGAUGCGUCCUGAUUGGCUAGCUCUGCUGCCCUCUCCCCGGGGGUCAACAGGGUCAUAAUUACAGAAGAAAUAGAAAAGUAGGGGAUCAAACAAGCCCGCCGCAGUGGCGGGCGCUGGCAGGGGAAAGCUGGGCCUCCGUGCUUGCCUCUAGGUGGGCUCGAGUCCCCUGGGUCGGCCCGCCCAGGCGAGGCGCGUGACCCGCGCCAGACCGCGCGGGGGGCGGGGCUAGAGGGCAGUGGGCGUGGCCGUCCACGUGCGCACAUUUGUCUCCUGUGCUCGCGGGCGGACAGGACCCCCAGAGCGCAGGCAUCCGGUCCAGGCGGCACCGCAGGGCGCCUCGUCCAGGCUUCUGGGGGAGCUUCUCUGGACCGCGAAGGCCGCCCCGUUGGGAAACCGCGCACGCCACACGAAUGCACUUGGAUAGAUUCGAGGAGAGGAGCCGUAAAAUCGAAAAUCAUGUUUCUCCAGUGCUGUUCUGAGAUAGCCCAACAGCAACCUGAACUGAUUCACCAUCUGCAUAGAAACCAGAAGUUGAUGAGCAAAGUCCAAAUUCUUUUGGCACCAUGUUCAAAGCAGAGCCUUCCCACCCCCUCAUUAACUGCUACUGUGCAUUCAUUUAACAAACACUUGGAGCCCCUGUUCUGUGCUGGCACUGGGGGAACACUGGAAUCAGUCCCUCAGAACCUCUGGGCAAGGGGAUGAAAUUGAGUUUCCAGACCUACAAAGCUGUGAACUGGAUCCUGUCCCACGUCCUGCCCACCUGUGAGGUCCUAUGAGCCGCAGGUGAGAGCGCUCAACCCCUCUCGGCUGCAACCAUCUGCUUUAAACCAUUCUCAUGUUUGUUGAACGAGUGAAUGAUCAAAUGAAAAAAUAAAUAGAUGGCUAGCUG
rnacentral:lncRNA from 1 species